GUGUAAAAAAGAUGCAUAUGUUUGUGUAUAGUUAUGAAAUUCUUGCAAAUGAGUUUGGCACCACCUUUUGGUCACAUGCCGCCAGCACCCUUUUAUAUAACCAGCUGCAUUCUGGGAGAUCCACAGCACAUAGACGGAGCAGUGCUGUGGGCUGGCUGGCUGAUCGUUUUGUAACUGUGAUUGCUGAACUCAUUGCAGGCAUAUGAAUAAAGAAACCCCUUCAUCCACCAA